rnacentral:rRNA from 1 species
CAUCUAGGCGGUCAAUCAAGCGAAGGUGAAAACUUGUGGCUCAACCAUAAGCUUGCCUACGAAACUGAUUAACUAGAGUACUGGAGAGGUGGACGGAACUACACGAGUAGAGGUGAAAUUCGUAGAUAUGUGUAGGAAUGCCGAUGAUGAAGAUAGUUCACUGGACAGAAACUGACGCUGAAGUGCGAAAGCUAGGGGAGCAAACA